AUUGAACGCUGGCGGCAGGCCUAACUCAUGCAAGUCGAGCGAGCGGCUGACGGGUGAGUAAUGUCUGGGAAACUGCCUGAUGGCGGGGGAUAACUACUGGAAACGGUAGCUAAUACCGCAUACCAUCAGAUGUGCCCCGAUGCGCGUAGUUCGCAGGUGGGGUAACGGCUCACCUAGGCGACGGUCCAUAGCUGGUCUUAGAGGAGGACCAGCCACACUGGAACUGAGACACGGUCCAGACUCCUACGGGAGGCAGCAGUGGGGAAUAUUGCACAAUAGGCGCAAGCCUGAUACAGCCAUGCCGCGUGUGUGAAGAAGGCCUUCGGGUUGUAAAGCACUUUCAGCGGGGAGGCGUUACCCGCAGAAGAAGCACCGGCUAACUCCGUGCCAGCAGCCGCGGUAAUAC
rnacentral:rRNA from 1 species